CACAAUUUGGUUGACUGUGAGACCCCAACACCUUCAGUAAGUCUUUUCUGCGACUUUGGUUGCCUAAUCUACCCCGCUAUCUCGCUCGCUGCCCCUCGGCUUAUCUUCGCCGUGAGCUACUCUCUAUCUUCACAGGAAUGGUUCUGUACUUCCUCAGUCUACUAUGGCACCGUGAAGAAACCCUAGGCUUCAUUAGAAAGGUUACAGAUCCUGUUGUUAAUAUGGGAAUCUGAGUGCAAUUUCUGGUAAUUUCAUCCUAUUUUUUGUUGUUCUUUCAUUUCUAAGAAAGCCAUGUUUAGGAUCUUUCUUUCAAUCGGUGAAGGAUUGGCUAAAAACACCUUGACUAUGAAAGAUGACUAAGUCUUGAACACCGGAUUGCGACAUGCAAACAGGUAAUGUCGCAAUUUCAGUGCAGAGGUUUCGCGACUACUUUAAAUGCUUACCGAUUCCGGAUUGAGUUGUGUAACAGUUCUCUAUCUGUUUUUUUAUGUGCUCUAUAUUUGCGAUAGUGUAUUUUUCCCCAAAAAAGUUGGGGAAUAUGAAUCUGAGUCUAGGGUUUUAGCGAAUCCUUUGUCUGAUUUGCGAUUCUGGAAAGAGAUAUAUGCUAAGCUUGGCGCUAACCAUGGUAGAAGUGGCAAUCGGUGACUUGAGUUCAAAUCGUUUCAGUAAAGCCUCACUUUUGAGAUAAGUUUCAAUCUACUUCAUUUUAACUUUUUUAUAAAAAUUGUAUAUUUGUAGUGUUGAGCCGAUAAAAUGUUUAUUUGUAGUGUUAAUUAAUUUACACUUAGAUUUGAUGUUGAUAUACAUUUCUCUGGUUAAUAUGUUCUCCCUAAUACAUUUUGCUAAUUCUGUCACUCCCUAAUAGGUUGAAUCAUGCUCUUUGCAUUGAUUCUAUUGAAGCUAUUGUUCUGACUACACGGAAGGGUUCACAAUUUACACAGAGAGCUUAGAAAAGAGAUAAGUUUUCCUACUACUACAAUUAAACAUGUAAUAGUAGACAUACCUUUUGUUUGAUGACACUGUUUCCUCUUGGGUCCAAUUGUGCAUGAUGAUGUAAUUCUCCUCAUGUUCUGCAAUAGAAAUGGUUUAACUACUGUGUUUUUGAUGGAUUGAGUUUAUUGUGUUCAAACCAUUGUUGUAAAUCCAAGUCAUGUUUAUAUUGGUUGUGUAUUUAUAGGGAAGGUAAACUGCUUUGUCUUUCAAAUGAUGUUUCAGGGCUUAAUUAUUCAUGUUAUCAAGUACAUAGAGAACCUCAAAGGUUUUUGAAAGUGUUGUGUAUUAAUCCCAAAGAAAAAAUAUGAUUUUUUUGUUUUUAUUUUAAUGAAGAUGAAAGGUUAAUGUAUGUUGUUAUAGUUUUAUUUAUUUAGGUGGUGAUACUUUUUACUUGGUAACUGAAUGUAUAUUUUUGUGCAUUCUAUGUCCUAAAAUGAUUGUCACUUGGGGCUUCAUUUGAAAACUGGAUUAAGAAAAAAUUUGUAUAAGUGUAUAUAAGUUUGACUUCAUUUACACUUUUUAAAAUCGAUUUUUGCAGGGCAUCUUGAAUUCGAUUUUUGUAGAGGUGUUGGGGUCACAGAUCAGAGAUCUUACCUGACCCAAACGUAAACUUGGGAACCAAACCGAGUAUGCAGAAGAGAUCUUGUACACUGUUUAAAUGAUGCUCCAAAGUUGUGAGGGCGAAAGGGAUACACAUUGUGAUAUUGUUUUGGAAGGCAAAGCAGAUCACUAGUGUAGAUGAGCGUGUUUGAUUCGAAGAUGAGCACUGGUGUACAAAUGCUUCGACUGUUAUUUAAAUAGCCAUGGCCUGCACUAUCGUUGGAAAACCCAAUUCGGCGUAAUGAAUAUGUGAACAUAAUUGUUUACAUAAAUAUGUUAUCAGAAAACGCAGAGACCAACCUAUUUCAAAUUAGGUCUUUAAUUUGAUUGGUUGAAAUUGAUUCUGUAAACCAAAAAUAAAAGGAAACAAUUAUUUUUUUUUAAAAAGUCUUUGGUAACUGAACGGUCU